CUUAGAGUUUGAUCCUGGCUCAGAGUGAACGCUGGCGGCGUGGAUUAGGCAUGCAAGUCGAGCGAUAUUUUAGUUGGAGAGGUUGAAGCCGCAAGGCAGAUGCCAAUUUGACUAUUUUAUAGCGGCAGACGGGUGCGUAACACGUGAGUAAUCUACCUCUAAAUCGGGAAUAGCCUCGCGAAAGUAAGGAUAAUACCUGAUGUGUCCCGUUUAUCAUAAGAUAGGCGGGGUAAAGUUAGCUCGCAAGAGCCGAUGUUUAGAGAUGAGCUCGCGUACUAUCAGCUAGUUGGUAGGGUAAUGGCCUACCAAGGCUUUUGACGGUUAGCUGGCCUGAGAGGGUGGUCAGCCACACGGGGACUGAGACACUGCCCCGACUCCUACGGGAGGCUGCAGUCGAGGAUCUUUAGCAAUGGGCGAAAGCCUGACUAUGCGACGCCGCGUGAGGGAUGAAGGUUUUCGGAUCGUAAACAUCUUUCGAUGGGGAAGAAA
rnacentral:rRNA from 1 species